UUCUUCUUCUUCUUCUCUGUGCGACGAUCGUAGCCAUUGAAGGAGGACUUUAAUUCCAACUUAUUCAUUUCUUGAUGAAAUCAAGUGAGGUAAAAAGCAAAGUUGCUUAGAAUUGGGAGACAAACACAACCCAUAAUCCAUAAUCUAUCAAAAAGCCUUAUAUUGAGAGAAAAAUGGAAGGAAAAGUGGCGCCCCUUUGUUGAUUGAAGGUUCAAGAAGGCGUUUUGAUCUCAUUUGAGGUUGGAAAUCCACUUAUUGGGUGAUUCUAGGUGUGCCUAGGGACUGUGAACGUUUGGAUUCUCGUGGAGCAAGAUAAGUAGCUUGUUCUUCAAGCAAGCAAAUUGUAAAGCUCCAAGUGGAAGUGAGCCCAGGGUAUGGAGAGAUUUCCAUAAACCUAGAGUUUACUAGAGAUUCGUCUCUAACCCCGUUUGGGGAUAUGAUUUCAGGAACACAGUUAAUUGAAGAGCCCUCACGGGACAAGGACAUUAACCGUGGCUAGAGGUACUAGUAUGAGGAUGUGGAGUUAUGGGUGACCGGAGGCGACUAUUUAUUUUAGACGUAUUUUUGGAGAAUAUGUAUUGUUGUAUAGUGUUCUAUUCAUUUUGUGAUCAUGAUGUUUGAUCCAUUAUACAGUAUAUGGUCCGUAUAUGUUUUGUACAUGUGUUCAUAUUUGAUGCAUGUACAUUUGUGUAUUCAGAUAUAUGAAUGUGCUGAAAUAUGUAUGCUGUUAGACAUAGUGGCACAUAGCCAGUUAUGCAUGCACACAUGAAUGGGUAUUAGAUAUGUUGUUGGACCAUAUAUGAUUA